GCGGGCGUAGUUCAGUGGUAGAACGUCAGCUUCCCAAGCUGAAUGUCGCCGGUUCGAAUCCGGUCGCCCGCU
rnacentral:tRNA from 3 species